CAACCAUAUAUUUUAUUUGAGUAUAGAAUGAAUUAAAGUUAAAAGUUUGAUGCUGCUGAUUUACGAAUGUAGGAGAUUGAUUUCAUCUGCACCGAGAAGGUCACUGGUAUCAAGCUGGACAAGGGAUGGUGCUACGUUUCUUGCUCCAACUGUACCAAGAAGCUCCAACGCACUGUCUCGGCUUUCACAUGUCUGGAUUGUAAUAAUACUAAUGCUGUUGGUGUUCUGAAGACUGAUGUAUCGGGUGGAGAUGUCCAUUGGAGAUGAAAAUGUUGAAGGCCUCUUUGUUUGUUUUGAUGGGGUUAUGACAAAACUGCAUAAUAUGAGAGCCUAUGAAGCUUGCCAUCUUUUGGUAUGUUUUUACUCUGCCUGUCAUGCAUCUUCGUCUUGAAAUUUUACUCAUGAGAUUGCAUUCAACGGUUGCUUCCUCAUGCUGGUGAUGGUGUGAACCCGUGGGACACUCCGGCACCUCCAUCUGUUGCAGACAUGGAGGGUAAAACCUACAAGUUCCAGGUCAAGGUCAGUGCAUACAACUUCACUGAAAACCAUCAAAUUUUUACGAUCUCCUGCAUCCUUAGUGAAGGUGACCGUAUUCCGCUCCCUCAGUUUGUUGCCAAUGUAAGUUCCAUGUACUAAAUUACGGUCAGUUAGCUUCACGGUAUAUAUUAAUUGGUUAUUUUGAUCUGAAUAGGGAGUUGAUGAUGACAAUGGAGACGACAACAGUGGUGCCAUCUCGGUUCGUGUUAAGGUGGAGACUGGUGGUAUCAGUCAGGUGCAAGGAUCCUCGGGAAUUAAGAAGAAGGCACGUACGGCAUGGGUGGAGAGGAUUGGAAACUUGAAGUUGUGCAGUAUUUUCCGCUUUCAGUAAUGCUUACGCAUGUGUUUUUUUUAUCCAUGUUUUAUUGACCACUUAAUCUUUGAAUCUUGGUUAUUUUAUAUUUGGUUACAGACGAGCUUAUCACGUUUUCCAGUUGUUCUGUAUUUAAGAUUUUUAUUCAUAUUUGGAUCACUGAAAUACUGCUUGAAAUGGAAUAUUAUUCUAUUAAUAUUACUUGAGUAUUCAUUUUUGAUGUGUAAACCCUUCGCUACAAUAAAAAGACAAAGACCAACAGUUCAGACAAUUAAAUUCGAUAUGUUUACGUUUCAUAUCAUUUUACUUAACAUAUAAUAUAUCAUAACAAAAGAUCAUGACUGGGAAUAUUGGUCCCUCGGAUACAGCUCUCUCCUCUUGACACCAUGCAUCCUUUCACGUUAUGUCGCCGUCAAUAUCCGCUGCGUCUUUGCUAUGCGAUGACAAUCAAUAAAAGUUAAAGACAGAGUUUGAAUCAAGGUGCUUUAUAUCUUCCUAGGACAGUCUUCGCUCACAGCCAGUUGUAUGUGGCGCUAUCACGAGUAACAACACCGGAGGGGCUUAGGAUAUUAGACGAUACCUCUGAUUUAGACGGUGUGGAUGCAGUAACCAAUAUUGUCUAGAAAGAGAUCUUCAAGGGCCUUCGAGACGCAAAGACUAGCAUUAAGUAGGUUUAGAUGGUGUGAUAUCUCAGUUUUGUUUUUAUUUCUAAUACUGACUUUAUCACUUUCAUUGCAGGGAAAGCAGCCAAUGUGUUCCUGAAGAAUUCUUAGCUUCGACAAGGAUAUCGUAAUAGAGUGCACUCCGCAUCAAAUUUUCAAAAUACUCAGACUCCCUCUUUUCUAUCGUUUUUCCUUCUAAUACUCUGAUGAAAUCAAUACUCAGUUUUACAAAGGUUUGUAAAGCUUGAUGGCUUCAUUUUGGAGUCUGUGACCCACAUAUAUUAUGUUUCAAUGGUCCAAUAUAUCCAGAACAUCUUAAUUUAUUACCAUAUGCUUACUAAAAAACUCAUAAACAAAUAGAAUCCCCAAGAAUAAACACUACUAACGUGCAUCUAAGCACUUAUAAAAAGAAUAAUUUACCAACGUGCAUCUAAGCACUCACUUAUAUAAUAAUAUAUACAAGUCCGACCUCAAGUGAAGCAUUCAUUCACACGAUAUUAGAUAACAAUUACUCAAAUUCUGUUGUUGGUCUAAUUGAAAUACAAAAUAACUAAAGCCUUAACUGUUGGCCUUAAAUUUGGUAAAAUAUAUUUACUAUAAAUAAAUGGCCCUAUAGGCCAAGAUUAUCUUACUCAAUAUUAUUUCCAUAUCAACAAACGAAGGUAUCAAGAUUAACCGGAUUAUUAGCAAUCACACCAACAACAUCAACUACGCCUCAAACCAUAUACUCAAAAAUAAUUUUGUUCCCAUAUUCGAAUACUAUAAUUACGGCUAAAAUUCAAGCUGUCAAUUAUUAGCAAGAAUAUUGAAAUCUUCAAUUAACCGCAGUAAAAACAUAUAUCUCCGUUUGAAUAAUAAAACACAGCACCACAGACACAAAACAAUAUAAAAGCAUCCACAGUCAAGCAUACGAAGUAACUACGUCCUUACAAUAUCUCAAAAGAGAAAAAAAAAACAUGGCGUCCACAAAUCAUGCUUCUGUCAUAUUGGCUGAAGAAGCCAGAGAGACCACUCAAGCAUUCCAAGCUUUAGCUGUGACCCAUUCAACUGAUGCCUCAUCCGGUACCGAAUAACCAACGGCAAUCCAAACACUCGACCCCAACUUAACAUAAAGAAAAUUUACACAAAAUUAUAUAUUUUACAAAAACCGGUCCGUCAAGCAUUCCAAAGCUUCUUAGUUUCCACUUAUUAUCUGAAUUCAUUCAUGAAAUCUAUUGUUGUUAAUCAAGUUUGUAAUAAAGUGGCUGUUCUCAAAUGUCCCAGAUAAAAAGAAGGUCAUAUCAGUAAGAAGAAGAAAAAGACAAAUAACAAAUGUUUUACAAAUUACAUAUGUAGCUUCGUUUAAAUGUAAUGAAAGUCAAUUUAUCAUCAUUAUAAGUCCAAACCUUUUAUCAACCAUGGUCGAGAAACAAGUACAAGUGACCAUGAUGGCAGUAACAACAAGCUUGACUUGCAAGUAAUUGAAUUUUGUUUUGUUGCACCGAACCCAGACUUGCAAAAGAAAAUAAAAAGGGCGAAUAUGAUGGAUUUAGUGAAAAUUUGUAUAAAUACAUAACUCCAUUACAGGUUAACUAAAAAUAAAAUAAGGAGUGAGUCUGACAUAACCUUUUCAUUUUUUAGUCAUAAAACUUGAGCUUUGGAAAAUUAAUAUUGAAAAUGAUUAAACCACAACCAAAGAUUAAUACAUCAGAAAAU